rnacentral:rRNA from 1 species
CUUGGUCAUUUAGAGGAAGUAAAAGUCGUAACAAGGUCUCCGUUGGUGAACCAGCGGAGGGAUCAUUACUGAGUUACCGCUCUAUAACCCUUUGUGAACAUACCUACAACUGUUGCUUCGGCGGGUAGGCCGUCCCCUGAAAAGGACGCCUCCCGGCCCGGACCGGACCCCCCGUGGGGCCGGGCUCGGCGCCCGCCGGAGGAUAACCAAACGCUAUUUUAACGACGUUUCUUCUGAGUGGCAUAAGCAAAAUAAUCAAAACUUUUAACAACGGAUCUCUUGGUUCUGGCAUCGAUGAAGAACGCAGCGAAAUGCGAUAAGUAAUGUGAAUUGCAGAAUUCAGUGAAUCAUCGAAUCUUUGAACGCACAUUGCGCCCGCCAGCAUUCUGGCGGGCAUGCCUGUUCGAGCGUCAUUUCAACCCUCAAGCUCUGCUUGGUGUUGGGGCUCUACGGUCGACGUAGGCCCUCAAAGGUAGUGGCGGACCCUCCCGGAGCCUCCUUUGCGUAGUAACAUUUCGUCUCGCACUGGGAUCCGGAGGGACUCUUGCCGUAAAACCCCCCAAUUUUUCAAGGUUGACCUCGGAUCAGGUAGGAAUACCCGCUGAACUUAAGCAUAUCAAUAAGCGGAGGA